GAGGAAUUUUGCGCAAUGGGGGAAACCCUGACGCAGCAACGCCGCGUGAGUGAAGAAGGCCCUUGGGUCGUAAAGCUCUGUCAAUGGGGAAGAAGUUGUGUGGUUCGAAUAGGGCCAUGCAUUGACGGUACCCAUGAAGGAAGCACCGGCUAACUCCGUGCCAGCAGCCGCGGUAAUACGGAGGGUGCAAGCGUUAUUCGGAAUUAUUGGGCGUAAAGGGCGCGUAGGCGGCCUGUUAAGUCAUCUGUGAAAUUUCGGGGCUUAACCCCGGAGCUGCAUGUGAUACUGGCAGGCUUGAGUAUGGCAGAGGAAAGCGGAAUUCCUGGUGUAGCGGUGAAAUGCGUAGAUAUCAGGAGGAACACCGGUGGCGAAGGCGGCUUUCUGGACCAAUACUGACGCUGAUGCGCGAAGGCGUGGGUAGCAAAC
rnacentral:rRNA from 1 species